UUGAGGUAUAAAAUGCAUUUAAAAUAGCUAAAAUACUUGAUAGAGAGGUGUUUAAAAAAGUAUCGGGUGAUUCCAGUGUGAACUUAAAAUACAAAUAUUUGUAUUUGUUUUAUUUGUAUAAAAUCCCCAAAAUUGACCUGAGGACAUGGAAGUGCCUUAGUGGCAUAAUCAGCCACAUACUGUAUCUGUAUGUAAGGUGGGACAUUUUUUCAAAAUCACUUCCUCUUCAAACAACCAACCUAAAUUUUGUAACUCCUGUGGUGCAUGUAGAAACACAUUUCUGCUGAUGUUGUCACUUCACUUUGACCCUUGACCCUCAUCUCUGUUACACCAGACCAGAGAGAAGAAGUUGAAGGAUGUUCAUGUUGUGUCUAGUCCUUGUUAACAUUCCAGUUUAACAAUUUAAAGUACUAUUGGUAAACCAAUGAUUCUAAUAUUUCAUACUCCUGAAUCAAUGCUUAACUAUGUUUGAUUCACACACUCAGGGAAACCAAACAAUGUACACAACACCCAACCAGGACUUAGGGUUAAUGUAAUCAAAGUAAGUAAAUGUUCAUGUUGUCUGAGUUAUCCUCUUCUGCACGUUCAUCUUGGAGACAAUGUGACUCUGCAACACAUCUAUCCGGACAGAAAGUCUUAUCUGAUGGUACAAGAUAACUGUAGGAAAGAAUCCUCAACUUGUAUUUAUAACAAUUAACAGAUAUGAUGGUGGAUCAACAUUUCACAAUGAGUUUAUGGAUAACCCUCAGUUCACAGUGCAAAGUGGAAAUGGAUUUUAUCAUCUACAUAUCUCCAACACUCAGCGAUCUGUCUCCACUACAUAUUUCUAUGGGGCAAUGAAUGUUAAUGUGAUGAAAUUCAAAAAUGGGAUAUUUCUCAUUCUGGCUAUUGUUUUAUUAACAGUAAUAUUGUAAAAUAUGGCUAAUUAUGUUAAUUGUUUAAAUGUGCUAAUCCAUCAUCUAAAGUUCUAAUCUAACUUUUUAUUUCAGGAUCAAGCAAAACUGUUGGACAAACAUUCUGUGUCUGAGUCAGUCCAGCCAGGAGAAUCUUUCCUCUGUGAAAGUUGCGCCCCUGAAAUUACAAAUGUGUUUCCUUACCCUAUAAGCAGUCUAUGGAGAAGGUAUGACAGCAAUCUAUGCUUUGGUUUAACUUACUUGGCACUGUUUCCAAAUGCUAAGGUUUUAGUAUUCGUGGCACAAAUCAUAUUCAAGUCAUGGGACCGAUAUUACACUACACCAAGAUGGCGUAGCAGUGCAGACGUUGUUUGUCGUUCUCCCGUGCAAAUGUUGUAUUUUUUGUCUAAAUAUACCUUUCGGCAACCCGUAUCACAAAAUGUGAACAGAUCUGCUAUUUUUGGACAUUUUUGCCAGAACCUCAAUCAGAAACUAAACAGCUAAUCAGCUACUAGCUAUUUAGUAACUGUUAGCCAUUGCUAACGGCCUUUACCUUUAGCACAGACACCAGAUGCUUUUAGCAUGGAUAAUACUUGACAGCAUGCCAGUCUGCACAGCGCGUUAUCAACCCUGUGCAUAUCAAACUGUUUUUCUCCACUGCAACACCGGAUUCCUGCCGUAAGCCCUGGACAAUUACUCCUGAUUGUCACAGCUAGCGAGCUACCACCGAGUGGCCCAACCCUGAAGCUAGCCUUGAGCCAAACCCAUCUCCCGGCCUGCUCAGUGGACCCUACGAUCACUCGGCUACACAGCUGAUGCCUCCUGCACUCUUCACUAACACGACUAGAAUCCACUACACCACCGGAUUCUUGCCAUAAGCUCUGGAACGCCCUUGUCCCGAAGCUAGCACCAGUUAGCCGAGAGCCAGCGCAUCUCCCGGCUAGCAAACACAAUUACUCCAGGUACAAUACCGCUUUUGCCAACUGGCUUGGACCCUUUGUCGACACGGUGCCCCGCCAUUACAUCACGACUGAUCUGCCGACAUAAUUCCGUCCGUUGUGCCAUCAAACGGCCUUUGCCGGACGUCAGAGCAGACACUUCUACUAGCCCCGGCCUGCUAACUUUUUUUGAACGCCAUGUUUCCCGCUUGCUAUUGUAUUAUUAACGACUACCUAGCGGCUUCCCUGUUUCAUCUAUUGCUGUUCACUGGAACCUAUGAUCACUUGACUACAUAGCUGAUGCCUGCUGGACUGUUCAUUAACCUCUUCAACCUAUGGGGGCGCUAUUUCAUUAUUGGAUAAAAAAAACGUGCCCGUUUUAAGCGCAAUAUUUUGUCACAAAAAGAUGCUCGACUAUGCAUAUAAUUGACAGCUUUGGAAAGAAAACACUCUGACGUUUCCAAAACUGCAAAGAUAUUAUCUGUGAGUGCCCCAGAACUGAUGCUACAGGCGAAACCAAGAUGAAACUUCAAACAGGAAAUUAGCAGGAUUUUUGAGGCUCUGUUUGCCAAUGUCUCCUUAUAUGGCUGUGAAUGCGCCAGGAAUGAUCCUGCCCUUUCUAUCGUUUCUCCAAGGUGUCUGCAGCAUUGUGACGUAUUUGUAGGCAUAUCAUUGGAAGAUUGGCCAUAAGAGACUACAUUUACCAGGUGUCCGCCCGGUGUCCUUUGUUGAAAUUGCUGCAUAAUCUACAAGCUGCACGCAGUCAUCCAGUGAUUGAGAGGAGAGAGGAGACUUCCACGAACGAUAUAUCAUGAAGAGAUAUGUGAAAAACACCUUGAGGAUUGAUUCUAAACAACGUUUACCAUGUUUCAGUCGAUAUUAUGGAGUUAAUUUGGAAAAAGGUUUUGGCGUUAUGAUGACUGAAUUUUCGUUUUUUUUUGGUAACCAAACAUGACGCAGAAAACGGAGCGAUUUCUCCUGCACAAAAAACUGGCAAAAAAACGGAACAUUUGCUAUCUAACUGAGAGUCUCCUCAUUGAAAACAUCCGAAGUUCUUCAAAGGUAAAUUAUUUUAUUUGAAUGCUUUUCUGGUUUUUGUGAAAAUGUUGCCUGCUGAAUGCUAACGCUAAAUGCUACGCUAGCCUGCGACUGCUAUCAAUACUGUUACACAAAUGCUUGUUUUGCUAUGGUUGAGAAGCAUAUUUUUGAAAAUCUGAGAUGACAGUGUUGUUAACAAAAGGCUAAGCUUGAGAGCUAGCAUAUUGAUUUCAUUUCAUUUGCGAUUUUCAUAAAUAGUUAACGUUGUGUUAUGGUAAUGGACUUGAGGCUGUAGUCACGAUCCCGGAUCCGGGAUGGCUCGACGCAAGAAGUUAAUCAUGGUACUCCAUUUUUGUUUAUUUUGUUUAUCUGUCGGCCCCAGCCUCAAACUCAGGCCCUUUGUGUAGUUAACUGACCCACUCUGCACAUUCACCGCCAUUUUACCUGCUGCUGUUAGCUGAUUAGCUGUUGUUGUCUUAACCGUUGUUGUCUUAGGUAGCUCUCCCAAUCAACACCUGUGAUUGUUUUAUGGCUCGCUUUAUGUCUCUCUCUAAUGUCAAUUUGCCUUGUAUACUGUUGUUUAAAACCAGUUAGAGAUAGGGGGCAGUAUUUCCACUUUUGAUGAAUUGCGUGCCCAUAGCGAACUGCAUCAAAAUCUGUCCUAAAUUGCUAAUAUAUGCAUAUUAUUAUUAAUAUUGGAUAAAAAACACUCUGACAUUUCUAAAACUGUUUGAAUUAUGUCUGUGAGUAUAACUCACAGGGCAGGCAAUCUUCCAAACAAGUUUUGAAAUCCUGAAAGUUGGGGCAACUUUGACGUCAUCACACCCUCCCUUCCCAACAAGUUAUGGAUCUGGAAACACUUCCUACGUCUUCCACUAGAUGUCCUCAUUCAGUAGAAAGUGUAAUGGAGCAUUUGCUGUGAAGUUUGACCUAAUGGGAAGGAAAGUAUUUGGUGUCGCAAAAGGAUGCCAUUUUGUUGAGGCGCGUUUGCCUUUGAGUGCUUCGGCUGUUCCAAUCAGCCCCAGAUGAAAACGAAUGAUCCGGUUGGAAUGCUAUUGGAUAUAUAUGAUUAUUACAUCCUGAAGAUUGAUUCUGCACUUAGUUUGACCAGUUUCUUCGACCUGUAAUAUGUCAUUUGGAAGUUUUGAUGCAAAGUUAUCCUGGACCAGAAGUCAUUUUUUGGGCACUUGAGCUGAAAGUGGUAGCAAAUGCUGCUACUUGGACACUAGAAUUGAACAUUAUGAAACAAAACAAUUUAUUGUUGAACUAGGACUCCUUGCACUACAUUCUGAUGAAAGAUCAUCAAAGUUAAGGGAAUAUUUAUGUUGUAAUUUUGUAUUUCUGUUGACUCCAACAUGGUGGAGAAAUAUUUUUACGUCUAAGCGCCGUCUCAGAUUAUUGCAAUGUUAGGCUUUUUCCGUAACGUUAAAAAAAUGUGACACAGCGGUUGCAUUAAGAACCAGUGUAUCUUUAAUUAUACGUAGAACAUGUAUCUUUAGUCAAAGUUUAUGAUGAGGAUUUUCUGAACAUGGCGUCAAUGUAAACCGAGAUUUAUGGAUAUAAAAUGCAUAUAAUCGAACAAAACAUAAACGUACUGUGUAACAUGUCAUAUGACUGUCAUCUGAUGAAGAUUUUCAAGAGGUUAGUGAUUGAUUUUUUUUUAAAUCCUGCUUUUGGGAUUUUUAUCUUUUGCUGGAAAAAAUGGCUACGUUUUUUCUUUGGUUUGGUGGUGGUCUAAAAUAAAUAUAUGUUGUGUUUUCGCCGUAAAACAUUUAAAAAAUCUGACACGCUGGGUAGAUGAACAAGGUGUUUAUCUUUCAUUUGAGGUAUUGGGCUUGUUAAUAUGUGGAGGUUAAAUAUUUCUAAAUAAUAUUGUUGCAUUCCCUGCGCCACCUUUUCAGCUGAACGGGGGGGUGGAGUUCCUGUAGCGGAACCCAUCGGCUUAACAAGUUUUUAAGAUGGUUUAGUGAAUGGAACAUACUCAAGAGAACGUCCUAGGAGAAUCCACUUGGAGCAUGAGAGUGUGGAGCACGGAGUAUGCAUAUUGAGAAACACCCCAUGCCUACCAGUAGAUCAAAUCACCUUUUACUCCAUUGUCGAAGUGUUGUUCAAAUGGGUAGACCCUUUCCACACGCAAUAAUCUCUUCAAAGAUGAUGUCACUGUGUAUGAUAUUUCUAUUUCUCAAACAAAUGGGUGAGUUAAACCUUAAUAUUUCUGUUAAUGUGCUUCCUAAAAAAAUACAAGAGGUAUUUUUGUAUUAUUCACAGACACUUUGGGGUAUCUAUAUCCAACACUGGAAUGGUUGUAUUUUGUAUAAUGGCAAAUAUAUUUGAAUAAGUAAUGUUUUUUUUUGUGUCUAGAUCAAGUUUAUAUCUGUGACACAGUCCCAGUCAGCCCGUUGUCUAUAGUAUAUGUUAAAGUUGGAAGCAUAACAACUUUACAUUGUGUCAACUUCAACUGCCUGUGAUGGGUUGAUGACCUAUGUUGAUUGGUUCAAUCAGGCUGUUGGACAAAUGCCUUUACUCAUGGCAUCAUCACUUCAAACCAAUCAAGAUAGUUUUUAUACAACAACUUUAUCUUCCCUGGAAACUAAACAUCUGAGUGUGAAGAGAGGAGUUGACAGCUGUGACCUGACCAUCUCCAAGACAGAGUCAGGGGACUCAGCUACAUACUAUUGAUGCUGGGACUUACUACUGUGCUGUGGCCUCAUGUGGAGAUGCUGUCUGGAAACUGGAACAAGCUGGAGAUCAAGGACAAUGGAGCAGACUCUCUACUGUUGGUGUACUGCAUAGGAGUAGCAUUGGCUCUCUCUCUAAUCCUGAUCAUUUUCCUGACCUGCUUCAUUUACAAUAUGAACAAGAGAGCAUGUCUGCAGUGCAGAGGCCCACGAUGCAGACAGUCUCCAUUAUGUAGCUCUGAAUCUGAGCAACAAGAAGAACAGGUCUAGAAGACAGAGAAGCAACAUGGAGGAAGAGACGGUCUACUCUGGGAUCAGACUGUAGAACAAUAAAACAGACGUCAAUUAAAAUUCAUGAGCUCUUAUUUAACUGUAUUAGUUUUGUUAUUUUAACUGUAACAACUAAUACAAGAAAUGCUUUGCUUCUCUGCCAUUUCAUAUCGA